GUCUACGGCCAUGCUACCCUGAAGAAGCCCUAUCCUGUCUGAUCUCGGAAGCUAAGCAGCGUUGGGUCUGGUUAGUACUUGGAUGGGAGACCACCUAGGAAGACCAGGUGCUGUCGGAG
rnacentral:rRNA from 1 species